ACGCUUGAAGUCAGUCGCGUUGACUUGGAAUCAACCCUGUUUUUGCUGGGUGUACUUAUCUUGUCAACGGGUCAGCAUCAAUUUUGACCGUUGGAUAAAGUUGUUGGGAAUGUGGCAUCUUUUGGAUGUGUUAUAGCCCAAUGAUGCAUGCAGCGGUUGGGAUUGAGGAACUCAGCACGCCACAAGGCCGGGUUUCGACCACGUCCGUGCUUAGGAUGCUGGCAUAAUGGCUUUAAUCGACCCGUCUUGAAACACGGACCAAGGAGUC
rnacentral:rRNA from 1 species